GGCGGUGUGUGCACGGGCGGUGUGUGCACGGGCGGUGUGUGCACGGGCGGUGUGUGCACGGGCGGUGUGUGCACGGGCGGUGUGUGCACGGGCGGUGUGUGCACGGGCGGUGUGUGCACGGGCGGUGUGUGCACGGGCGGUGUGUGCACGGGCGGUGUGUGCACGGGCGGUGUGUGCACGGGCGGUGUGUGCACGGGCGGUGUGUGCAUGAAGAAGCUCUUCGGAGUGUAAAGUGCUUUUAUUUGGGAAGAAACAAUGACUGUACCAGAUGAAUAAGGGGCUGCUAAACUCGUGCCAGCAGCAGCGGUAAUACGAGUGCCCCUAGCGUUAUCCGGAUUUAUUGUGCGUAAAGAGUACGUAGGCGGUUU
rnacentral:rRNA from 1 species